rnacentral:rRNA from 1 species
GGAGGGAUCAUUAAAUAAUUUGGAUACGCUUGCGUAUUUCUUAUUUACUGUGAACUGUUUUAUUGUUUGGCGCUUGAGGAAUGCAUUCUGACCAUAGGGAUAGGUCAGUUUGAUGUUAACCGAGCCAAAGUCAGGCUUAGGCCUGGUAUCCUAUUAAUUAUUUACCAAAAGAAUUCAGAAUUAUUAUUGUAACAUAAGCGUAAAAAACUUAUAAAACAACUUUUAACAACGGAUCUCUUGGUUCUCGCAUCGAUGAAGAACGUAGCAAAGUGCGAUAACUAGUGUGAAUUGCAUAUUCAGUGAAUCAUCGAGUCUUUGAACGCAUCUUGCGCUCAAUGGUAUUCCAUUGAGCACGCCUGUUUCAGUAUCAAAAACACCCCACAUUCACAACUUGUUUGUUGAAUGGAAUUGAGAGUUUCGGCGUUAAGCUGAUCUCUUUAAAAAUAUUAGGCCUGAACUUUUGUUCUUUCUGCCUGAACAUUUUUUUAAUAUAAAGGAAUGCUCUAGUAAAAAGACUUCUUCUGGGGCCUCCCAAAUAAAACUUUCUUAAACUUGAUCUGAAAUCAGGUGGGAUUACCCGCUGAACUUAAGCAUAUCAAUAAGCGGAGGAAAAGAAAAUAACAAUGAUUUCCCUAGUAACGG